CGUAGGGGGCAAGCGUUGUCCGGAUUUAUUGGGCGUAAAGCGCUCGCAGGUGGUGCGUCGCGUCGUGCGUGAAAGACCCCGGCUCAACUGGGGAGGGUCGUGCGAUACGGGCGGACUGGAGGCCAGUAGGGGGAUGCGGAACUCCGGGUGUAGUGGUGGAAUGCGUAGAGAUCCGGAGGAACACCAGCGGCGAAGGCGGCAUCCUGGACUGGUCCUGACACUCAGGAGCGAAAGCGUGGGGAGCGAUCCGGAUUAGAUACCCGGGUAGUCCACGCUGUAAACGAUGAGCACUAGGUGUCGGGGGUAUCGACCCCCUCGGUGCCGCAGCUAACGCGCUAAGUGCUCCGCCUGGGGACUACGGCCGCAAGGCUA
rnacentral:rRNA from 1 species